rnacentral:rRNA from 1 species
CCUACGGGGGGCAGCAGUGGGGAAUAUUGCACAAUGGGGGAAACCCUGAUGCAGCGACGCCGCGUGAGUGAAGAAGUAAUUCGUUAUGUAAAGCUCUAUCAGCAGGGAAGAAAAUGACGGUACCUGAGUAAGAAGCCCCGGCUAACUACGUGCCAGCAGCCGCGGUUAUACGUAGGGGGCAAGCGUUAUCCGGAUUUACUGGGUGUAAAGGGAGCGUAGACGGCAGUGCAAGUCUGGAGUGAAAGGCGGGGGCUCAACCCCCGGCCUGCUCUGGAAACUGUACGGCUGGAGUGCAGGAGAGGUAAGUGGAAUUCCUAGUGUAGCGGUGAAAGGCGUAGAUAUUAGGAGGAACACCAGUGGCGAAGGCGGCUUACUGGACUGUAACUGACGUUGAGGCUCGAAAGCGUGGGGAGCAAACAGGAUUAGAUACCCGAGUAGUC